CGAUGAGUUUGUUCCCAUUGAAACUUGCAAAAAGCGAAAAUUGAUGCCAAGCUGUUGGGAGGAAAACCAGAGACUGAUUUCCAGCCUUCCUGAUGAGAUUUCUAUCCAGAUUCUGGCUAGAGUUCCCAGGAUACAUUACUUGAGACUUAAGUUGGUCUCUCGAGCAUGGAAACAUGCCAUUACAAGCAAUGAACUCUUCCAACUUCGACAGGAACUUGGAACAGCUGAG
rnacentral:misc_RNA from 1 species